UGGGGAAUCUUGCGCAAUGGCCUAACGGCUGACGCAGCGACGCCGCGUGAGGGAUGAAGCUCCUCGGAGUGUAAACCUCUGUUGCCCGGGACGAACAGCUCGUUUAUACGAGCCUGACGGUACCGGGUGAGGAAGCACCGGCUAACUCCGUGCCAGCAGCCGCGGUAAUACGGGGGGUGCGAGCGUUGUCCGGAAUCACUGGGCGUAAAGGGCGCGUAGGUGGUCUGAUAAGGGUGUGGUGAAAGUCCGGGGCUCAACCCCGGAUCUGCCGUGCCGACUGUCAGACUCGAGGACUGUAGAGGCAGGCGGAAUUCCGGGUGUAGCGGUGGAAUGCGUAGAGAUCCGGAGGAAGACCGGUGGCGAAGGCGGCCUGCUGGGCAGUUUCUGACACUGAGGCGCGACAGCGUGGGGAGCAAACAG
rnacentral:rRNA from 1 species